CAGCCCUGGUCACAACAUUCAAUGGAGAGAUUGGGAUUGCUGGCGCUAUUUUAACAAAGCUGGAUGGAGAUUCUAGAGGUGUAAAGCAAGGACAGCAGCUGCAGUCAAAGUUCCAGAGUUUCAAUUUGAGGUGAGAAGGAAUUAUAGAGACCACAUACCUUCAAGAAGAAGUCAAUGAAGUUCAUGAUGGGAAGAAUUCGUUAGCGAUAAGUAUCUUUAGACUUUUACAAUGUGGAUCUUCAUCAAUUCUGUUGUUUAACUCUGUACCUAGUGAAACUUCUUUAAUUUGUAGCAAAAUUUACCUUUUCCAUUACAAGUAUCUUUAGACUUUGACUUUUGCAAUGCGGAUCUUCAGUUCUAUACUCUAUUAAUAUAUUGCAACUUCAUUU